AGACGGGUGAGUAACGCGUGAGAAACCUGCCUUCCAGUGGGGGACAACAGUUAGAAAUGACUGCUAAUACCGCAUAACAUAUCGAGAUCGCAUGAUAUUGAUAUCAAAGAUUUAUCGCUGAAAGAUGAGCUCGCGUCUGAUUAGAUAGUUGGUGAGGUAACGGCUCACCAAGUCGACGAUCAGUAGCCGGACUGAGAGGUUGGACGGCCACAUUGGGACUGAGACACGGCCCAGACUCCUACGGGAGGCAGCAGUGGGGAAUAUUGCACAAUGGGCGCAAGCCUGAUGCAGCGAUGCCGCGUGAGGGAAGAAGGUUUUAGGAUUGUAAACCUCUGUCUUCAGGGACGAUAAUGACGGUACCUGAGGAGGAAGCUCCGGCUAACUACGUG
rnacentral:rRNA from 1 species